UCGGGCAUGCGUAGUCAGUGUGUAAACCGAGCUUGCAACAGCUGUAAAACUGGGACAUGUGUUUUGGAUAUAUUAACCUCAAAUAUCAGGCUGUAUAAUUGUAACAGGAAAAUGAUUUGAGUUUAAUUCUUUAGACUGAUAAAUGUAGUAUAUGUUUACUAGGGUGUUAUAGGCUGACAUUUGCUUGACAUAUAAAAAAAAUGCAGUUUUAUAAACUGGUCAUACCACGUCACGUGUUUCACAAUGUUUCUGCCAGAUUAAUGAGGUAUCAAAUUGGUACUUAAAUUACGUAUUCUUUAUCCAGAAAUGAUAAUUUCAUGAUUCUUUGUUGCAGCAUCAUUGACAAAAGUAUAACUGACACAGUGACACGCACGGGGAUUGUAGGAAUAUGUGAUAUUGUACAGCAUCGAAAAACAACAGCAACAACAACAACAAGUCAACAGAUCAGAAAUUGAUAUGCAGAGAAAAUAAGAUUCUGCAAUGGCGCUGUUGUCUGUCGUUUCUAUUCUGAGAAUAUCUGUCAGUUUCAACACGAAGUUUAUGAGAUGCAAGCCUUAAUCGCGCCAAAGCAACACAAUAUUUGCUGGGUCCUGUGGAGUUUUGCCGAAGAUUACCAUGUCAUCUGCAAACAACAUCAGUAUAAAGGUAAUUUCAUCUAUAGACAAACCGCAUGCAUCUUCGUUUUGCAAAAAUAACUCUAAAUCAUCAACAAAUAAGGAAAAUAGUACAGGUGACAUAACUUCACCCUGUUUUAGACCAACAGCACAUUCAAAAAAUUCUGAAUAUGUUUUGCAACACUGUACACAUGAUUUAACUUUGUUGUACAUAUUUCUUAUAAUAUUUAACAUUUUACCUUUAAUACCUAGUUUAGAUAAUUUGAACCAUAAACCAUUUAAAUAGAUACUGUCAAAGGCCUUUCUUAGAUCAAUAAAGGCACAGUAAAGGCGACCUUUCUCAUUUAAGAUUUUUUGCACCACAACAUUUAAUACAAAAAUUGCAUCUACUGUAGAUCUACCGGUUCUAAAACCAAACUGAUUAUCACUUAAAAUUUCAUUACUUUCUAUCCAUGUGUUAAUUCUUGCAUUGAGUACACCUGUAAAUAUUUUUGCAAGGCAACUUAUAAGAGUUAUACCUCUGUAAUUGUUUACAUCAUUGACAUCAUUUUUCUUAAAUAUUGGUACAAUAAUUCCUUCAGACCAUUUAUCCGGAAAAUAACCGGAGUUCAAAACAACAUUAAAUAAAUCAGCUAGAUGCCCACCAAUAAUAUCAAAGGACUCAAUGAAAUAUUCAUUUAACAAACAGUCGAUACCACUUGCUUUGUUUCGGCUAAGACCCUUAA